GCCACUGUUGGGGCUUUUUUGCCUGUGCUCCUCUUCGGAGAAGGUUGUGUCCCUGCUGCUCUUCACUUUCUCCCUCAAUAAACCUCUCUGGAUUAAGCAUGGAAGAAGCCCUCCUGCUCUUCAUUCGGUGGUCCUGAUUCAAGUCUGUAUUGUUUUCCUUCACUAUUCCAAUGAUGCUGAAUGCUGACGAGCUAAUACUUGGCUUAACACCAGCAAGUAAUUUCCUGAAUAACCCGUGACUGAAGCUGGGAAAUUUUGGUUGUAUGAGAGUGUUCUUGCAGGAAGACUACCUCCUGCCGUGAUACAAAUGUG